AAGUCGUAACAAGGUUUCCGUAGGUGAACCUGCGGAAGGAUCAUUUUGGUUCUUUGUUUUGUGGGGUUUUACCGCAAAAAAAAACAACAACCAUAUUGUUUAUUAAAGCCAACCGUGUGCAAGUGUGCUGUUGCCAAAAAAACACAACAUGGCAGACAGCGUGUCGUGUGUGUAUUGCGGGGCCAGGUCUAUUUAUAGGGCUGGGCCCGCAGCACACUGCGCUGCAUGCAUGCUGCUUGCUGUGCUAUUUUUGGCUGUGCUAUUUUUGGCUGUGCUAUUUUUGGCUACAUGCCUUGAACUAAAAAUAAGCUGUGCUGGAAAGCGCUGAAAAAUGGCAGCCAUGUCUAAAGCAAGACGAUGGAUAACAAGAAAAAAAACGACAGUUUUAACGGUGGAUCUCUUGGCUCGU
rnacentral:misc_RNA from 1 species